UCCGGUUUGUCACCGGCAGUCUCAUUAGAGUGCUCUUUCGUAGCAACUAAUGACAAGGGUUGCGCUCGUUGCGGGACUUAACCCAACAUCUCACGACACGAGCUGACGACAGCCAUGCACCACCUGUGCAGGCUCCGAAGAGCGCCCGCUUUCACGGGUUUCACCCUGCAUGUCAAACCCAGGUAAGGUUCUUCGCGUCGCAUCGAAUUAAGCCGCAUGCUCCGCCGCCUGUGCGGGUCCCCGUCAAUUCCUUUGAGUUUUAGCCUUGCGGCCGUACUCCCCAGGCGGGGCACUUAAUGCGUUAGCUACGGCACGGAAUCCGUCGAUAGAACCCCACACCUAGUGCCCAACGUUUACGGCGUGGACUAC
rnacentral:misc_RNA from 1 species